GAUGAACGCUAGCGGCAGGCCUAACACAUGCAAGUCGAGGGGUAGAAGUUGCUUGCAACUUUGAGACCGGCGCACGGGUGCGUAACGCGUAUGCAAUCUGCCUUGUACUGAGGGAUAGCCCAGAGAAAUUUGGAUUAAUACCUCAUAGCAUUAUGAUGUGGCAUCACAUUAUAAUUAAAGUUCCAACGGUACAAGAUGAGCAUGCGUCCCAUUAGUUAGUUGGUAAGGUAACGGCUUACCAAGACGAUGAUAGGUAGGGGUCCUGAGAGGGAGAUCCCCCACACUGGUACUGAGACACGGACCAGACUCCUACGGGAGGCAGCAGUGAGGAAUAUUGGUCAAUGGGCGCAAGCCUGAACCAGCCAUGCCGCGUGCAGGAUGACGCAUCUAUGGUGUGUAAACUGCUUUUGUACAGGAAGAAACACUCCCUCGUGAGGGAGCUUGACGGUACUGUAAGAAUAAGGAUCGGCUAACUCCGUGCCAGCCGCCGCUGUAA
rnacentral:rRNA from 1 species